UACCGGAUAACAACACUAGACGCAUGUCUAGAGUUUGAAAGAUGGUUCUGCUAUCACUCUUGGAUGGACCUGCGGUGCAUUAGCUAGUUGGUAAGGUAACGGCUUACCAAGGCAAUGAUGCAUAGCCGAGUUGAGAGACUGAUCGGCCACAUUGGGACUGAGACACGGCCCAAACUCCUACGGGAGGCAGCAGUAGGGAAUCUUCCACAAUGGACGAAAGUCUGAUGGAGCAACGCCGCGUGAGUGAAGAAGGGUUUCGGCUCGUAAAGCUUUGUUGGUAGUGAAGAAAGAUAGAGGUAGUAACUGGCCUUUAUUUGACGGUAAUUACUUAGAAAGUCACGGCUAACUACGUGCCAGCAGCCGCGGUAAUACGUAGGUGGCAAGCGUUGUCCGGAUUUAUUGGGCGUAAAGCGAGUGCAGGCGGUUCAAUAAGUCUGAUGUGAAAGCCUUCGGCUCAACCGGAGAAUUGCAUCAGAAACUGUUGAACUUGAGUGCAGAAGAGGAGAGUGGAACUCCAUGUGUAGCGGUGGAAUGCGUAGAUAUAUGGAAGAACACCAGUGGCGAAGGCGGCUCUCUGGUCUGCAACUGACGCUGAGGCUCGAAAGCAUGGGUAGCGAACAGGAUUAGAUACCCUGGUAGUCCAUGCCGUAAACGAU
rnacentral:rRNA from 1 species